rnacentral:tRNA from 1 species
GCCUCAGUGGCGAAAUUUGGUAGACGCGCUAAACUUAGAAUUUAGUUUUUAUAAUAAAAUAUUAAGAGUUCAAGUCUCUUCUGAGGUA